GACGUAGGGCGCGAGCGUUGUCCGGAUUUAUUGGGCGUAAAGAGCUCGUAGGCGCUUGUUGCGUCGGCUGUGAAAACCCGCAGCUCAACUGUGGCUUGCAGCCGAUACGGCAGGCUUGAGUUCGGUAGGGAGACUGGAAUUCCUGGUGUAGCGGUGAAAUGCGCAGAUAUCAGGAGAACACCGGUGGCGAAGCGGGUCUCUGGGCCGAUACUGACGCUGAGGAGCGAAA
rnacentral:rRNA from 1 species